rnacentral:rRNA from 1 species
AUGCUAUUGCUGCUGCCGAUGAUUGCUGUUGCCAUUGCUGCUGAUAUUGCUUCUCCUUAUAUUAGUACCUAUACCGUAGAUGAUAUUCAUUCCCAAAUAAAAAAUAUAGAAGAUCUGUAUGUUUUAAAAUUCUUGCAAAUUAAACGAACUACUUGUUAUCUCUUCUCUAAUCUUUCUCUUGAUCAGAUUCUCUUUUUUACUAUCCAUUGCAAAAUUUACUCAAUAAUAUGUACAAUGCGUACAAUAAUAAUCAUGAAACCAUCUAGCUCCUUAUUGAGUCCAUGGCCCCUUUUUCCAUGCAAUGGUUAG